GAUGAACGCUGGCGGCGUGCCUAACACAUGCAAGUCGAGCGAUUUUCUUCGGAAGAGAGCGGCGGACGGGUGAGUAACGCGUGGGUAACCUGCCCUGUACACACGGAUAACAUACCGAAAGGUAUGCUAAUACGGGAUAAAAUAUGAAAGUCACAUGACUUUUGUAUCAAAGAUUUAUCGGUACAGGAUGGACCCGCGUCUGAUUAGCUAGUUGGUAAGGUAAUGGCUUACCAAGGCGACGAUCAGUAGCCGACCUGAGAGGGUGAUCGGCCACACUGGAACUGAGACACGGUCCAGACUCCUACGGGAGGCAGCAGUGGGGAAUAUUGCACAAUGGGCGAAAGCCUGAUGCAGCAACGCCGCGUGAGCGAUGAAGGCCUUCGGGUCGUAAAGCUCUGUCCUCAAGGAAGAUAAUGACGGUACUUGAGGAGGAAGCCCCGGCUAACUACGGGCCAGCCGCCGCAGUAAGAC
rnacentral:rRNA from 1 species